rnacentral:miRNA from 1 species
UUUUGUGAUGUGUUCCUAAUAU